rnacentral:rRNA from 1 species
AAUAGAUACCCGGGUAGUCCAUGCCGUAAACGUUGGGAACUAGAUGUAGGGCCUGUUCCACGGGUUCUGUGUCGUAGCUAACGCAUUAAGUUCCCCGCCUGGGGAGUACGGCCGCAAGGCUAAAACUCAAAGGAAUUGACGGGGGCCCGCACAAGCGGCGGAGCAUGCGGAUUAAUUCGAUGCAACGCGAAGAACCUUACCAAGGCUUGACAUAUAGAAGAACACUGCAGAGAUGCAGGGACUCUUUGGACACUUCUAUACAGGUGGUGCAUGGUUGUCGUCAGCUCGUGUCGUGAGAUGUUCGGUUAAGUCCGGCAACGAGCGCAACCCUCGUCCUAUGUUGCCAGCACGUGAUGGUGGGAACUCAUGGGAUACUGCCGUGGUCAACACGGAGGAAGGUGGGGAUGACGUCAAAUCAUCAUGCCCCUUAUGUCUUGGGCUUCACGCAUGCUACAAUGGCCGGUACAAAGGGCUGCGAUACCGUAAGGUGGAGCGAAUCCCAAAAGCCGGUNUCAGUUCGGAUUGGGGU